rnacentral:rRNA from 1 species
GACGGAGGGGGCUAGCGUUGUUCGGAAUUACUGGGCGUAAAGCGCACGUAGGCGGCUUUGUAAGUUAGAGGUGAAAGCCCGGGGCUCAACCCCGGAACUGCCUUUAAGACUGCAUCGCUUGAAUCCAGGAGAGGUGAGUGGAAUUCCGAGUGUAGAGGUGAAAUUCGUAGAUAUUCGGAAGAACACCAGUGGCGAAGGCGGCUCACUGGCCUGGUAUUGACGCUGAGGUGCGAAAGCGUGGGGAGCAAACAGG